rnacentral:rRNA from 1 species
GAUGAACGCUGGCGGCGUGCCUAAUACAUGCAAGUCGAGCGAACGGACGAGAAGCUUGCUUCUCUGAUGUUAGCGGCGGACGGGUGAGUAACACGUGGAUAACCUACCUAUAAGACUGGGAUAACUUCGGGAAACCGGAGCUAAUACCGGAUAAUAUGUUGAACCGCAUGGUUCAAAAGUGAAAGACGGUCUUGCUGUCACUUAUAGAUGGAUCCGCGCUGCAUUAGCUAGUUGGUAAGGUAACGGCUUACCAAGGCAACGAUGCAUAGCCGACCUGAGAGGAUGAUCGGCCACACUGGAACUGAGACACGGUCCAGACUCCUACGGGAGGCAGCAGUAGGGAAUCUUCCGCAAUGGGCGAAAGCCUGACGGAGCAACGCCGCGUGAGUGAUGAAGGUCUUCGGAUCGUAAAACUCUGUUAUUAGGGAAGAACAUAUGUGUAAGUAAAUGUGCACAUCUUGACGGUACCUAAUCAGAAAGCCACGGCUAACUACGUG